rnacentral:rRNA from 1 species
UACGUAGGGGCCAAGCGUUGUCCGGAAUUAUUGGGCGUAAAGAGCUCGUAGGCGGUUUGUUGCGUCGGCUGUGAAAUCCCGAGGCUCAACCUCGGGUCUGCAGUCGAUACGAGCAAACUAGAGUGUUGCAGGGGAGACUGGAAUUCCUGGUGUAGCGGUGAAAUGCGCAGAUAUCAGGAGGAACACCGGUGGCGAAGGCGGGUCUCUGGGCAACAACUGACGCUGAGGAGCGAAAGCGUGGGGAGCGAACAGG